GAUACCCCAGUAGUCCACGCCCUAAACGAUGCAUACUAGGUGUGGGGAGAAUCGACCCUCUCUGUGCCGUAGCUAACGCGUUAAGUAUGCCGCCUGGGAAGUACGAGCGCAAGCUUAAAACUCAAAGGAAUAGACGGGGAUCCGCACAAGUGGUGGAGCAUGUGGUUUAAUUCGACGGUAAGCGAGGCACCUCACCAAGGUUUGAAAUCUAGCUGCAGGGCCCAGAAAUGGGACGUUCUUCGAGAGUGCUAGACCAGGUGCUGCAUGGUUGUCGUCAGCUCGUGUCGUAAGAUGUUCCGUUCAGUCGGGAAACGAGCGCAACCCCUAUCAAGUGUUACAUGUGUCACUUGAGACUGCCCAGCCCUUUGUUCAUGAGACAAAGAACAAUGAGCAUGAAGCAAGAAUCCGAAAAAAGAUUUUUGUUUUCUGAUCGAUGUUCGGUGAUUCGUGGCUAAGGGGCUGGGAGGAAGGCGGGGAUGACGUCAAAUCAGCAUGGCCCUCUGACACCUUGGGCGACACACGUGCUACAAUGGCCGACAUAAUGGGCAGCCAACCCGCGAGGGGGAGCCAAUCCCAAAAAUUCGGUCUCAGUUCGGAUUGCAGGCUGCAACUCGCCUGCAUGAAGCUGGAAUCACUAGUAAUCGGGAAUCAGCCAUGUCCCGGUGAAUACGUUCUCGGAUCUUGUACUCACCGCCCGUCACACCAAGAGAGCUGGCAAUACCAGAAGGUCCCACGUCAAACUGGGAACUACGGUAGGGUCAGUAAUAAGGGUGAAGUCGUAACAAGGCAUCCGUAGCGGAAGCUGUGGAUGAAUCACCUCCUUUCUAGGGA
rnacentral:rRNA from 1 species